GAGUGUAAAACUCACACGUCGGUCAGCGAGGUUUCGCCCACCGGCGUUUUUUG
rnacentral:sRNA from 1 species